rnacentral:rRNA from 1 species
UAGCCGUAGACGAUACUCGCUAGGUGUCGGCCACGGUGCGACCGUUGUCGGUGCCGUAGGGAAGCCGUGAAGCGGGCCACCUGGGAAGUACGGCCGCAAGGCUGAAACUUAAAGGAAUUGGCGGGGGAGCACAACAACGGGUGGAGCUUGCGGUUUAAUUGGAUUCAACGCCGGAAAUCUUACCGGGACCGACAGCAACAUGAAGGCCAAGCUGAAGACUUUGCCGGAUUAGCUGAGAGGAGGUGCAUGGCGUAGUCGUGU